CUACGGGUCGCUCCAGUGGGGAAUAUUGCACAAUGGACGAAAGUCUGAUGCAGCAACGCCGCGUGGAGGAUGACACAUUUCGGUGCGUAAACUCCUUUUAUAUAGGAAGAUAAUGACGGUACUAUAUGAAUAAGCGCCGGCUAACUCCGUGCCAGCAGCCGCGGUAAUACGGAGGGCGCAAGCGUUACUCGGAAUCACUGGGCGUAAAGAGCGUGUAGGCGGAUAGAUAAGUCAGGAGUGAAAUCCUAUGGCUCAACCAUAGAACUGCUCUUGAAACUGUCUAUCUAGAAGAUGGGAGAGGUAGAUGGAAUUUCUGGUGUAGGGGUAAAAUCCGUAGAGAUCAGAAGGAAUACCGAUUGCGAAGGCGAUCUACUGGAACAUUAUUGACGCUGAGACGCGAAAGCGUGGGGAGCAAACAGGAUUAGAUACCCCAGUAGUC
rnacentral:rRNA from 1 species